GACGAACGCUGUCGGCGUGCUUAACACAUGCAAGUCGAACGGAAAGGCCCUGCUUUUGUGGGGUGCUCGAGUGGCGAACGGGUGAGUAACACGUGAGUAACCUGCCCUUGACUUUGGGAUAACUUCAGGAAACUGGGGCUAAUACCGGAUAGGAGCUCCUGCUGCAUGGUGGGGGUUGGAAAGUUUCGGCGGUUGGGGAUGGACUCGCGGCUUAUCAGCUUGUUGGUGGGGUAGUGGCUUACCAAGGCUUUGACGGGUAGCCGGCCUGAGAGGGUGACCGGCCACAUUGGGACUGAGAUACGGCCCAGACUCCUACGGGAGGCAGCAGUGGGGAAUAUUGCACAAUGGGCGGAAGCCUGAUGCAGCAACGCCGCGUGCGGGAUGACGGCCUUCGGGUUGUAAACCGCUUUCGCCUGUGACGAAGCGUGAGUGACGGUAAUGGGUAAAGAAGCACCGGCUAACUACGUGCCAGCAGCCGCGGUGAUACGUAGGGUGCGAGCGUUGUCCGGAUUUAUUGGGCGUAAAGGGCUCGUAGGUGGUUGAUCGCGUCGGAAGUGUAAUCUUGGGGCUUAACCCUGAGCGUGCUUUCGAUACGGGUUGACUUGAGGAAGGUAGGGGAGAAUGGAAUUCCUGGUGGAGCGGUGGAAUGCGCAGAUAUCAGGAGGAACACCAGUGGCGAAGGCGGUUCUCUGGGCCUUUCCUGACGCUGAGGAGCGAAAGCGUGGGGAGCGAACAGGCUUAGAUACCCUGGUAGCCCACGCUGUAAACGGUGGGUACUAGGUGUGGGGUCCAUUCCACGGGUUCCGUGCCGUAGCUAACGCUUUAAGUACCCCGCCUGGGGAGUACGGCCGCAAGGCUAAAACUCAAAGGAAUUGACGGGGCCCCGCACAAGCGGCGGAGCAUGCGGAUUAAUUCGAUGCAACGCGUAGAACCUUACCUGGGUUUGACGUGGAUCGGGAGUGCUCAGAGAUGGGUGUGCCUCUUUUGGGGUCGGUUCACAGGUGGUGCAUGCCUGUCGUCAGCUCGUGUCGUGAGAUGUUGGGUUAAGUCCCGCAACGAGCGCAACCCUUGUUCACUGUUGCCAGCACGUUAUGGUGGGGACUCAGUGGAGACCGCCGGGGUCAACUCGGAGGAAGGUGGGGAUGACGUCAAGUCCUCAUGCCCCUUAUGUCCAGGGCUUCACGCAUGCUACAAUGGCUGGUACAGAGAGUGGCGAGCCUGUGAGGGUGAGCGAAUCUCGGAAAGCCGGUCUCAGUUCGGAUUGGGGUCUGCAACUCGACCUCAUGAAGUCGGAGUCGCUAGUAAUCGCAGAUCAGCAACGCUGCGGUGAAUACGUUCCCGGG
rnacentral:rRNA from 1 species